ensembl:lncRNA
AUGGUGGGAGAAGUUGAGGCUACUGAUCCUGAACUUCGGAAAGUGCAUGUUCAUGCAGUUAAAGCAAGAGAACAGAAUCCAGUGGUAAACCGUUUAACUAAAUUUUCUGACUGGUCCAGAGUGGUGAGAGCAAUUGCCAGGCUCAAGAGAUUUGUCAGAGAAUUCAAGGGAUUUCAGUCGAGAACUAAUGAAUCAACUAAUCUUGAAGAACGAAGAGAAGCAGAGGUCUUCAUCAUCAAACUCGUACAAGAAGACGCGUUUGCUGAAGACAUAAAGAAAAUGAGAGGCAAGAAGGAACACACUUUGAGCAGGCACAACAGGCUACGCCAGCUGAAUGCUUUCCUGGACAAAACCAAUGUUCUCAGGGUGGGAGGACGGCUGUCUCAGUCAGCCUUACACCAUGAUGUAAAGCAUCCAGCGAUACUUCCGAAAAAAUCUCACGUGUCAGCUCUGCUGGUCAAAUAUCAUCAUGAGCGCAUACACCACCAAGGAAGGGGCAUGACCAUGAAUGAGUUGUGCGCAAACGGAAUAUGGGUCCUAGGAUGUGGAAGUAUGGUCUCCUCACACAUUCACAAGUGUGUAAAAUGUAGACGAUACAGAAGAACAACUGAGGUUCAACAAAUGGCAAAUCUACCAGAAGAGAGAACUGAGACAUCUCCCCCCUUUACUUAUUGUGGGCUUGAUUGUUUUGGCCCCUUUAUUGUGAAGGAAGGAAGGAGAGAGUUGAAACGAUACGGAUUGUUAUUCACUUGCCUAUGCUCUAGAGCAGUUCACAUAGAAACUCUUGACGAUUUGACAACAGACGCAUUCGUGAAUGCACUUCGAUCAUUCAUAGCUAUUCGAGGACCCACGCGCCAGCUAAGAUGUGAUAGAGGAACAAACUUCGUUGGUGCUAGAAAGGAGCUUUCUGAGUUGCUUGAAGGAAUGGAACAAAAUCGUACAAGGGCGCUUGAUUGUGAAUUUGUGCUGAAUGUCCCAUCAGCUAGUCAUAUGGGAGGAGUUUGGGAGCGACAGAUUCGAACAAUCCGAAGCAUCUUGAUAGCUAUGCUCGACAAGUCCGCCAGCAGACUUGACACCACAACUCUAAGAACGCUUCUGUAUGAAACAAUGGCCAUAAUCAACAGCAGGCCACUAAGUGUCGAGCAUCUUCACGAUCCUACUGGUCCGGAACCCCUCACUCCCAACCACAUUCUGACCAUGAAGUCAUCUGUAAUUCUGCCACCUCCUGGACAAUUCUGCAAAGAAGACCUCUAUCUGCACAAAAGGUGGAGAAGAGUGCAGUUUUUGGCCAAUGAAUUUUGGCAACGAUGGAAACGAGAAUACCUGCUAAAUCUCCAACAACGACAGAAAUGGCAGAAGACGUCACGGAACUUGCAAGCAGAUGACAUUGUAAUAUUGAAGGAUGACAAUGCACCAAGAAACCAGUGGAAACUUGCAAGGGUUGUGAAAGCCCUGCCCAGCGCAGAUGGCAAGGUGCGAAAGCUAAAGCUUCUGCUCAGUGACACUACCUUUGAUAAGGGAAAACCAAUCACUAAAUUAGUUUACCUUGAAAGGCCUGUUCACAAAGUAGUUACAUUACUUGAGGUCGCCUAA